GAUGAACGCUGGCGGCGUGCCUAAUACAUGCAAGUCGAGCGAACAGACGAGGAGCUUGCUCCUCUGACGUUAGCGGCGGACGGGUGAGUAACACGUGGAUAACCUACCUAUAAGACUGGGAUAACUUCGGGAAACCGGAGCUAAUACCGGAUAAUAUAUUGAACCGCAUGGUUCAAUAGUGAAAGACGGUUUUGCUGUCACUUAUAGAUGGAUCCGCGCCGCAUUAGCUAGUUGGUAAGGUAACGGCUUACCAAGGCAACGAUGCGUAGCCGACCUGAGAGGGUGAUCGGCCACACUGGAACUGAGACACGGUCCAGACUCCUACGGGAGGCAGCAGUAGGGAAUCUGCCGCAAUGGGCGAAAGCCUGACGGAGCAACGCCGCGUGAGUGAUGAAGGUCUUCGGAUCGUAAAACUCUGUUAUUAGGGAAGAACAAUGUGUAAGUAACUAUGCACGUCUUGACGGUACCUAAUCAGAAAGCCACGGCUAACUACGUG
rnacentral:rRNA from 1 species